rnacentral:rRNA from 1 species
AUGAGUCAACUGAAGCUCGUGCGCAACAUGAGGGCUCAAAAUGACAACUGGUUCGCGGAAUACCUCCUACGCAUUGGAAACGGAACAGAGGAGACAAAUGAAGAUGGUGAAAUACAACUACCAACAAGUAUAUGUGUGGCAAAUAAGACGGAUGACAAUGGCCUGGAUAUGCUCAUCGACAGUGUCUACCAAACGGACAAUGCUUCACUAAAAGAUCCAAAGUACAUCACGUCAAGAGCAAUUCUAUCAACAAGGAACGACUCCGUAGACAAGAUCAACCUAAAAAUGAUUGAU